rnacentral:lncRNA from 1 species
UUCCGAUGUCCAAAUGCCUCGUCAUCUAAUUAGUGACGCGCAUGAACGGAUCAACGAGAUUCCCACUGUCCCUAUCUACUGUCUAGCGAAACCACAGCCAGGGGAACGGGCUUGGACGGAUCGGCGGGGAAAGAAGACCCUGUUGAGCUUGACUCUAGUCCGGCAGUGUGAAGAGAGAUGG